rnacentral:rRNA from 1 species
AUGUAUAACUCACAUCACUCAUCUAAAUUGAUGCUCAUGAAAAGAUGUGAUCUAGAGGCAUCGGGUUAUAUCACCGACGAUGCCCUGACUCUGCAGUGCACCAUCACCGUCCUCAAGGAAUUACCAGUGCAAACGUUCCCCGUCAAACAAAUCCCAAUGCCUGCCGUGCCAUCCUCCAACUUGCACGAGCACUUCGGCGAGCUCCUGCAGAGCGAGAAGGGCGUGGACGUCACAUUCCUCGUGUCCGGCCAGACUUUUGUGGCCCACAAGGCCGUACUAGCCGCGAGGUCCCCCGUGUUCAUGGCCCAGUUCUACGGGCAAAUGAUGGAGAAGAGGUCACAUCGUGUCGAAGUUAAGGACAUGGAGGCGGCAGUGUUCAAGGCGCUUCUCCGAUUCAUCUACACCGACACGGCGCCGGACUUCAGCCAGCAGCAGAAGGAGGAGGCGACGACGAUGGCACAGCAUCUGCUGGCAGCCGCAGAUAGGCACGGUCUUGACAGGCUCAAGCUAAUCUGCGCGGGUAGGCUCGCCGGCGGGAUCGACGUCAACACGGUUGCGACCACAUUGGCAUUAGCCGAGCAGCACAACUGCUCAGAGCUCAAGUCUAGGUGCGUCAAGUUCAUCGUCAAGACCACCGCUGUUCUUGACGCUGUGCUGAAGACGGAAGGGUAUAAACACUUGGAAGAAAGCUGUCCUUGGGUGCUGACCGACCUUCUUUCGCGCGGGAGGAAGAAACCGAAGCGCAAGUAG